CCCUAUUUGUUUGAUUCAAUUCCUAAAUAAGGA
rnacentral:tRNA from 1 species